UAGCGGAGGAAAGGAAACCAACAGGGAUUCCCUUAGUAACGGCGAGUGAACCGGGAAAAGCUCAAAUUUGAAAUCUGCCAACAGGGCCGAGUUGUAAUUUGUAGAUGGCUACACUGCAUAAUAGUAGAUGCUCAAGUUCUUUGGAAAAAGACAUCAUGGAGGGUGACAAUCCCGUGAGGCAUGUUACUAGGAGCAUAUAGUGGGCUUUCUAAGAGUCGAGUUGUUUGGGAAUGCAGCUCAAAGUGCGUGGUGAAUACCAUGUAAAGCUAAAUAUGGACGAGAGACCGAUAGCGAACAAGUACUGUGAAGGAAAGAUGAAAAGCACUCCGAAAGGAGAGUGAAAUAGUACGUGAAAUUGUUAAAGUGGAAGGGCUUGAGAUCAGAAUUGGUAGUUUGGGUUCCACGUCCUCUUGGGGGCGUGUACUCCCUUUCCACCGGGCCAGCGGGAGUUUCGUCUCUUGGGUAAAAGGCAGUGGAAUGUAGCAGCUUGUCCUGUAUUAUAGCCCCCUCUGUUCCAUACCAAAGACGUCCGAGACUUGUUUUUGUUGGCGUAAUGAUCUCUAGCCACCCGUCUUGAACCUCCGGGACCAA
rnacentral:rRNA from 1 species